rnacentral:rRNA from 1 species
UACGUAUGGUGCAAGCGUUAUCCGGAUUUAUUGGGUUUAAAGGGUGCGUAGGCGGCGAGUUAAGUCAGCGGUAAAAGCCCGGGGCUCAACCCCGGCGAGCCGUUGAAACUGUGUGGCUGGAGACGGAGAGAAGUAGGCGGAAUGCGCGGUGUAGCGGUGAAAUGCAUAGAUAUCGCGCAGAACUCCGAUCGCGAAGGCAGCCUACCGGCUCCGGUCUGACGCUGAGGCACGAAAGCGUGGGUAUCGAA